GUAGAACGCACAGGAUGCACCGUAGUUUACUACACCGUAUUCUGUGAGUUGCGAACGGGUGAGUAACGCGUAGGUAACCUGCCUGGUAGCGGGGGAUAACUAUUGGAAACGAUAGCUAAUACCGCAUAAGAACAUUUACUGCAUGGUAGAUGUUUAAAAGGUGCAAGAGCAUCACUACCAGAUGGACCUGCGUUGUACUAGCUAGUUGGUGAGGUAACGGCUCACCAAGGCAACGAUACAUAGCCGACCUGAGAGGGUGAUCGGCCACACUGGGACUGAGACACGGCCCAGACUCCUACGGGAGGCAGCAGUAGGGAAUCUUCGGCAAUGGGGGGAACCCUGACCGAGCAACGCCGCGUGAGUGAAGAAGGUUUUCGGAUCGUAAAGCUCUGUUGUUAAGGAAGAACGUGUGUGAGAGUGGAAAGUUCACACAGUGACGGUACUUAACCAGAAAGGGACGGCUAACUACGUGCCAGCAGCCGCGGUAAUACGUAGGUCCCGAGCGUUGUCCGGAUUUAUUGGGCGUAAAGCGAGCGCAGGCGGUUAGAUAAGUCUGAAGUGAAAGGCAGUGGCUCAACCAUUGUAGGCUUUGGAAACUGUUUAACUUGAGUGCAGAAGGGGAGAGUGGAAUUCCAUGUGUAGCGGUGAAAUGCGUAGAUAUAUGGAGGAACACCGGUGGCGAAAGCGGCUCUCUGGUCUGUAACUGACGCUGAGGCUCGAAAGCGUGGGG
rnacentral:rRNA from 1 species